rnacentral:sRNA from 1 species
GCCAGGUGUGGUGGUGCACACCUGUAAUCCCAGCUACUCAGGAGGCUGAGGCAGUAGAAUUGCUUGAACCCAGGAGGCAGAGGUUGCGGUGAGCCAAGAUCACGCCACUGCACUCCAGCCUGGGUGACAGAGCAAGAUUCUGUCUCAA